rnacentral:rRNA from 1 species
UACAGAGGGGGCGAGCGUUGUUCGGAUUUACUGGGCGUAAAGCGACCACAGGCGGCUUGAUAAGUCAGGUGUGAAAUCCCCGGGCUCAACCCGGGAACUGCACUUGAAACUAUCGAGCUUGAGUCAUGGAGAGGAUAGCGGAAUUACCAGUGUAGAGGUGAAAUUCGUAGAUAUUGGUAAGAACACCAGUGGCGAAGGCGGCUAUCUGGCCAUGUACUGACGCUCAAGGUCGAAAGCGUGGGGAGCAAACAGG